GCAGGUUAAGCGAAGCGUCUUGAUCGAAGCCCCAGUAAAACGGGCGGCCGUAACUAUAACGGUCCUAAGGUAGCCGAAAAUUCCUUGUCGGGUAAGUUCCGACCUGCACGAAUGGCAUAAUGAUGGCGGCGCUGUCUCCAGCAGAGGCUCAGUGAAAUCGAAUUCGCCGUGAAGAUGCGGUGUACCCGCGGCUAGACGGAAAGACCCCGUGAACCUUUACUGCAGCUUGACAUUGAACUUUGAUCUUACUUGUGUAGGAUAGGUGGGAGGCUUUGAAGUGGUGACGCUAGUUGCCAUGGAGCCGUCCUUGAAAUACCACCCUGGUAAUAUUGAGGUUCUAACUCUGCUCCCUGAUCGGGAGCGAGGACCAUGUCUGGUGGGUAGUUUGACUGGGGCGGUCUCCUCCUAAAGAGUAACGGAGGAGUACGAAGGUGCGCUCAGCGUGGUCGGAAAUCACGCGUAGAGUAUAAAGGCAAAAGCGCGCUUAACUGCGAGACCCACAAGUCGAGCAGGUACGAAAGUAGGUCUUAGUGAUCCGGUGGUUCUGUAUGGAAGGGCCAUCGCUCAACGGAUAAAAGGUACUCUGGGGAUAACAGGCUGAUACCGCCCAAGAGUUCAUAUCGACGGCGGUGUUUGGCACCUCGAUGUCGGCUCAUCUCAUCCUGGGGCUGAAGCAGGUCCCAAGGGUAUGGCUGUUCGCCAUUUAAAGAGGUACGCGAGCUGGGUUUAGAACGUCGUGAGACAGUUCGGUCCCUAUCUACCGUGGGCGCUGGAAAUUUGAGAGGAUCUGCUCCUAGUACGAGAGGACCAGAGUGGACGAACCUCUGGUGUACCGGUUGUGACGCCAGUCGCAUCGCCGGGUAGCUAUGUUCGGAAGGGAUAACCGCUGAAAGCAUCUAAGCGGGAAGCCUACCUCAAGAUAAGAUUUCCCCGAGACUUUAUGUCUCCUAAAGAGCCGUUGAAGACUACGACGUUGAUAGGUUGGAUGUGGAAGCAUAGCGAUAUGUGAAGCUGACCAAUACUAAUUGCUCGUGAGGCUUGACUAU
rnacentral:rRNA from 1 species